UGGAAACAGCGGUUAGGAGCUUACACCCACCCGUGUUUACAUACUAUUGUUGCUUUGGCGGGCCGUGGCCUCCACUGCGGGCUCUGCUCGUGUGUGCCCGCCAGAGGACCAAACUCUGAAUGUUAGUGAUGUCUGAGUACUAUCUAAUAGUUAAAACUUUCAACAACGGAUCUCUUGGUUCUGGCAUCGAUGAAGAACGCAGCGAAAUGCGAUAAGUAAUGUGAAUUGCAGAAUUCAGUGAAUCAUCGAAUCUUUGAACGCACAUUGCGCCCUGUGGUAUUCCGCAGGGCAUGCCUGUUCGAGCGUCAUUUAACCACUCACGCCUAGCGUGGUAUUGGGGCACGCGGUCUCCGCGGCCCUCAAAAUUAGUGGCGGUGCCGGUGGGCUCUAAGCGUAGUACAUACUCCCGCUAUAGAGUUCCCCCCGGUGGCUCGCCAGAACCCCCAAUUUUUACAGGUUGACCUCGGAUCAGGUAGGGAUACCCGCUGAACUUA
rnacentral:rRNA from 1 species